CGGUCUGAUCAAGCGUCUCUAAGGGCAUUUGGGGGAUGCCUUGGCGUUGAGAGGCGAUGAAGGACGUGACACGCUGCGAUAAGCCAUGGGGAGCUGCGAGUAAGCUUUGAUCCGUGGAUUUCCGAAUGGGGAAACCCGGCCAUUUAGGUCAUCCCGCAAGGGAAGCGAACCUGGGGAACUGAAAUAUCUAAGUACCCAGAGGAAAGGACAUCAACCGAGACUCCGUUAGUAGUGACGAGCGAACGCGGGACCAGGCCAGUGGCUUGAUAGAAGAUAACCAGAAGCGUCUGGAAAGGCGCGCCAUAGUGGGUGAUAGCCCCGUAUGGGUAAUGCUUUCUUCAAGUCCUUGAGUAGGGCGGGACACGUGAAAUCCUGUCUGAACAUGGGGGGACCACCCUCCAAGCCUAAGUACUCCUCAACGGCCGAUAGUGAACCAGUACCGUGAGGGAAAGGUGAAAAGCACCCCGAUGAGGGGAGUGAAAUAGACCUGAAACCGAAUGCCUACAAUCAGUCGGAGCCACAGUAAGUGGUGACGGCGUACCUUUUGUAUAAUGGGUCAGCGAGUUACUUUGACGAGCAAGCCUAAGCCGUUAGGCGUAAGCGAAGCGAAAGCGAGUCUGAAUAGGGCGUUUAGUUCGUUUGAGUAGACCCGAAACCGGGUGAUCUAGCCAUGGGCAGGUUGAAGGUACGGUAACACGUACUGGAGGACCGAACCCACGCAUGUUGAAAAAUGCGGGGAUGACCUGUGGCUAGGGGUGAAAGGCCAAUCAAACCCGGAGAUAGCUGGUUCUCUGCGAAAACUAUUUAGGUAGUGCGUCGUGUAUUACCGUCGGGGGUAGAGCACUGGAUGGGCUAGGGGGGCGCGAGCCUUACCAAACCUAACCAAACUCCGAAUACCGUCGAGUACAGCACGGCAGACAGACUAUGGGUGCUAAGGUCCAUAGUCGAGAGGGAAACAGCCCAGACCUCCAGCUAAGGUCCCUAAAUUGUGGCUAAGUGGGAAAGGAUGUGGGAAGGCCAAGACAGCCAGGAGGUUGGCUUAGAAGCAGCCAUCCUUUAAAGAAAGCGUAACAGCUCACUGGUCUAGACAAGCCGGCCUGCGCCGAAGAUGUAACGGGGCUAAAGCCACAUACCGAAGCUGAGGACGUGAUUUAUCACGUGGUAGCAGAGCGUUCUGUAGGCCUGCGAAGCGUAAUCGUGAGAUUGCGUGGAGGUAUCAGAAGUGAGAAUGCUGACAUGAGUAGCGAUAAAGAGUGUGAGAAACACUCUCGCCGUAAGCCCAAGGGUUCCUGCGCAAGGCUAAUCCGCGCAGGGUGAGUCGGCCCCUAAGACGAGGGCGAAAGCCGUAGUCGAUGGGAAUCAGGUUAAUAUUCCUGAACCUGUUGGUAGUGACGGAUGACGUAAGUUGUACAUGCUUAACGGAUUGUGUGUGCAGCGAAGUUGUCCCAGGAAAUAGCUCCAACAUUAAGACCGUACCCCAAACCGACACAGGUGGGCAGGUAGAGCAUACCGAGGCGCUUGAGAGAACGAUGUUGAAGGAACUCGGCAAAUUGCCCCCGUAACUUCGGGAGAAGGGGGACCUCCAUUUAGGCAACUAGAUGGAGGUGGCACAGACCAGGGGGUGGCGACUGUUUAUUAAAAACACAGGGCUCUGCGAAGUAGACAAUACGACGUAUAGGGUCUGACGCCUGCCCGGUGCCGGAAGGUUAAGAGGAGGUGUGAGAGCUCCGAAUUGAAGCCCCGGUAAACGGCGGCCGUAACUAUAACGGUCCUAAGGUA
rnacentral:rRNA from 1 species